UGUGUUGGUGCUUCUAUGUGUAUAGGC
rnacentral:piRNA from 1 species